AACGAACGCUGGCGGCAGGCUUAACACAUGCAAGUCGAACGCAUCCUUCGGGGUGAGUGGCAGACGGGUGAGUAACGCGUGGGAACGUGCCCUUCAGUUCGGGAUAACCCAGGGAAACUUGGGCUAAUACCGGAUACGUGCGAGAGCAGAAAGAUUUAUCGCUGAAGGAGCGGACCGCGUCUGAUGAGCUAGUUGGUGGGGUAAUGGCCCACCAAGGCGACGAUCAGUAGCUGGUCUGAGAGGAUGAUCAGCCACAUUGGGACUGAGACACGGCCCAAACUCCUACGGGAGGCGGAAGUGGGGAAUAUUGGACAAUGGGCGCAAGCCUGAUCCAGCCAUGCCGCGUGAGUGAUGAAGGCCUUAGGGUUGUAAAGCUCUUUCGUCCGGGACGAUAAUGACGGUACCGGAAGAAGAAGCCCCGGCUAACUUCGUGCCAGCCGCCGCCGUAA
rnacentral:rRNA from 1 species